AAUAUUGCAGACAGCAAGUGUGAAUGACGGCAGUCCAAGGGAAGAGAAGAGAGCGUGGCAGUUCGACGGAGCACGUGAACGCGAAUGCGCGCUCCCGAUAAUAACCCGCUGACGCUUUCAUCCGGGAACUACCGCGAACUCGCUCUUCAACAUGGCGGCGUCAGCUAAGAAGAAGAAUAAGAAGGGGAAGACCCUAACUCUGACAGACUUCUUGGCGGACGAAAGCGGAGGCAGUGGCCCGCCACCCAGCUACCCCGUCAAAACCACUAGCUGGGCUGAUGAAACGGACGACUUGGAUGGAGAUGUGUCAACUUCAUGGCACACAGAUGAGGAUUCAUUCCGGGCCCCGCCUAUCGACCGAUCCAUCCUGCCCACAGCACCCCGUUCGGCUCGUGAGCCCAAUAUUGAUCGGUCUCGACUGCCUCGCAGCCCGCCAUACACUGCCUUUCUCGGCAACCUUCCCUAUGAUGUCACUGAAGAGUCGAUCAAAGACUUCUUUCGCGGCUUGGCAAUCAGUGCAGUGCGUCUCCCUCGUGAACCCAGCAACCAUGAGAGGUUGAAGGGUUUCGGCUAUGCUGAGUUUGAUGAUGUGGAGUCUCUCCUAAGUGCGUUAAGUCUCAAUGAGGAGAACCUGGGAAACCGAAGGAUCCGUGUGGAUAUAGCAGACCAGUCGAAUGAUAAAGAGAGAGACAGUGGAAUGAUGGGAGGCAGAGACCGAGGUGGGAGAAUGGCGGACAUGGGCCCUGACAAGACUGACAGUGACUGGAGGGCUCGGCCCAGUGGAGACAUUGACGAUGGACCACCCAGGAGGGAUGAUGCCUUUGGAGAGAGAUCCCGGGAUCGCUAUGAGUCGGAUCGUUUCCGAGAUGGUCCACGACGGGACUACGAUAGCGGAAGAGACCGCUACCGAGACCGUUACGAUGACAGAGACCGACGAGAUUACGAUAGAGGAGGUUAUGACUCUCGUGGUGGUGGUGGAGGCCGUCGCGCCUUUGGCAGCAGCUUCCGUCGCGAUUAUGAUGACGGUCGAGGUAGCAAUGACCGGUAUGGCGAUCGAGAUCGUUACGGGGACAGAGAUCGUUACAAUGACGACCGAUACGAAAGACGGGAUGAGAGGCGUGAAGAAAGAGCUCCUCAGCAGAGGCCUAAGUUGAAUUUAAAGCCUCGCAGCGUGCCCAAGGAUGAAGAAGGUAGCGGCGGCAGCGGCGGAGGAACUUCUCCAGCUGCCGCACAGACCUCUAGCAGCAGGGCCUCCUCUAUCUUUGGUGCCGCCAAACCCGUUGACACGGCAGCCAGGGAACGGGAGGUAGAGGAGAGGCUAAAAAAACAGGAGGAGAGGCUCCAGAGGCAGAUGGAAGAAGACAAGAGCCGGGGCCCUGACAGAAAGAUACGAGACAAAGACCCAAGCUGGCGAAAUGAGGAAAGUCACACCGAGCGAUCUCGUACAGGAAGUGAGUCCUCCCAGCAAGGAAGUGGGUCUGGUAGAGGGUCACGGUGUCGAGACGGUGAGCGUUCCGGGGAGAAUGAGGUUUUCAGUGGGAGGGAAGACGAGUCCUCGUCCCCUGCAUCCGCCGCACCGCCUCCCCCCACCAAGGAGCCACUGAAGGUGAUGCCUGCACCUCCCCCUAAGGAGAACGCUUGGGCAAAGAGAAGUGCAGCCAGCGCCAGCUCUGCUGAAUCCGAUGGCCGCUCCCCAGUAUCCCCUGUUGGUUCAGCUCCUCCCAAGUUCAGCUCAUCGAAUUCUGCAGAUGAACGAGGAUCUGGAAAGGAUGAGAACAAGGCUGAUGGUGCACACCGGGACCGGGGCCCCCCACGGACUCGAGGUGGGCCUGCGGGGCCUGGAGCAGGGCGAGGGCGAGAAGAAGGUCCCAACAGAGACCGAAGAAAGGAGGCAGACAGAAAGGAUAACAGAAGAGACAGAGACGCCAGACCGCCACCAGAGCCAAAGAAAUACACCGAAACCCCAACCCCUAAGUUCAGCUCAGCCAGUAAAUACGCUGCUUUGCUAAUGGACGGAGACGGUGACGACGCCGGGGAUGUGGAGUAGAGAAGACUGCAAAAAAGAGGAGCAAAUGAACAUCAGAAUAAUGAUUUCACAUAGCUUAUAUUCUCAUGUGGAAGUAGCCCCUGGGAGGACAAUCACCCCCUUCCUUCCUCUUUCAAACCUGUCCUUUCCCUUUUUUUCCCCCCUCUCUUCUUCCUACCCUCUACCUCCAUUGCUCAACUCUUGCCCCACUCUGACGACUCUUUCAGGAUCUACACAAUAGUCACCUACUGGACUUAUUUUAACAGGGGGAUAAAGCGUGUCUAGCUCAUGGAAAGUGAUGGAGAAAGUUGAAAAAUUGUAAUAAAUAAAUGGAAAAAAGUGGGAGAACCAAAUUGUUUGUGGAUUAAAGGUGCGAUAAAUCUGUUUAUAUAGCUAUGGCAACAACGGACUUUUAAAUCUGUCAUUUACCAUACCUCCUAGUGGGCCACGUCCAUUCAUUUUAUUAGUCAUGUGAAAAGCAUAAUCUUUUAACUCUUUUCUCUCUAAACUUAAAUCACAAAUCUUGUCUUCCAGUACUGAUUUUAUUCUGAAACUAACCCGCGUGUCAUGUGUCCACUGUACAACAAUGGCUUCGACAUGAUUCACUUUAGACGCCGAAGGACAACCGCCGCCUCACAACUCCCUUUGAGGCUUUCAAGUGCCAUUAUUGUUCUCCCCCUGAUGUCUUCCCAUCCUCCACUGCUGUCUGCCAAUCAUUCUCUUCCUCUUGGGAGGACUACAGUGUGGGAGGUUUUCACGACAUGACCUUAUUACCUCCCAUUUGCAGUAAAAGGUGUGUUAAGUAGGGCUGGGAACCUCUAGGUACCUCACGAUACGAUUUGGGAUACAAGGCUCAGGAUAACAAUGUCGCGAUAUGGCGAUGCAACAAUUAUCAAGACGUUGGUCAGGAAAUUAUUCAACUAUACAACUAAUAAACAGGAAAAACAAGCUAUUUUCAUCCUUUUGCUAUUAAUUAAAAUGAGUAUCACUAGUGGACGUCCAAUCCGUUU